GUGUGGGUUAUCAAGUUUUGGAGGGAGAGUAGUAGAAUCUCCUCUUUUUCUACCAUCUCUCCCGUGGCACAGACUGGUUGGACACCAUCAUUCAGCAACUCCUUCCUCAACACCCAGGAGGACGAGUUCACAGCAUCCCCACCCUCAGGUUUCGGUCAUGCAGCUGGACUCUUGACAAGAGGUCACCCUAACAUUCCACACCCUCUUCGCUUCCUCCCCUCCCAGUGCACGAGCAAGGGACACGAAGGACCUUGAGAUGAUGGAGGCACAGGCUGCCAAGAAAUCUGUAUCCCUCCUUGGAACUGGUCCACAAGGCCUGCAUCUGACCUCAGCACCGGCAGGAGAGGGACACUGGCUUGGUGAAGCCGCUGGAUGGGGACAUCACUGGUCACUGCAGUGCAGCCUCACCCGUCUUAACGUAUCUACCCCACUCCAGCGUCCCUGACCUUCUCACUGCCUCCCACAGCACUCUUCCCACAACUCCUUGGCUUCUGGCAUCUUCUUGAAGCAGAGUAUUCACAGUUCCAGCAGAGGUGGGGGAGGAAGGCCCACCCCAGGGAAGACUGGGCUUUCUCCUCAGGCCCACGGCGCACCUCCACUUGCCCUAGCCUCCCGCUUCCUGCAGUCUCUUCCUCCACCUGUUCUCUCAGGUGGCUUCUCCUCAGCUGAACUGACCCUUUUCAGAGAAGGCUGCUGCCACCCAUGCACAGCCACUCACUGUCACAGCGCUCUCCUCGACUGCCUCUGAAAUAGUCCUUGACUCAUGAAAACUCCGGUUCUUCUCUUUCUCCCUGCAGGAUGUCCUACGCAGGAGAACCGGGGUUAGGUUUUAUGUGUUCCAGUUCCUUUAAUGCCAGUGAAUGCUUUCACCUUCUCAAAAGGGAUAGGUGAAUGAAUGAAUGAAUGAAUGAAUGAAUAAGCGAAUGUCCAUAUUCCCACCUCCAGACCAUCUCAUCCCUUUACAAAUGAGAAAAUUGACCCUUUCCCCAGAAAAGAGGAAACACAAAAGCAGCAGAGGCAACUCUACUGUGCUAGAAUGCUGAACUUGGAUGUGAUUUAUUCAAAUUAAAACUCUGGGGGAAUUGUUUCAGAGGGAUCCAUAAAACAAAUGUCAUUUUCACCUGGAGAACUCACCCAACCUUCUAACCAAUUUCAAAUAUAGUUCUUUAAUGCAGAUUUGACAAAUUUGAAAUCUCUUACACAAAGCCAUUUAUCAUCUAAUAUGUGCCUGCCCUGCGCCACAGUUUAAGUUAUAGCUUUUUAAUGGGGUAAAACAUUUCUAUAAAAUGAUCAAAAUACCUUAAACCAAAACUGCC
rnacentral:lncRNA from 1 species